CCUACGGGUGGCAGCAGUGGGGAAUAUUGGGCAAUGGGCGCAAGCCUGACCCAGCAACGCCGCGUGAAGGAAGAAGGCCUUCGGGUUGUAAACUUCUUUUGUCAGGGACGAAGAAAGUGACGGUACCUGACGAAUAAGCCACGGCUAACUACGUGCCAGCAGGCGCGGUAAUACGUAGGUGGCAAGCGUUAUCCGGAUUUACUGGGUGUAAAGGGCGUGUAGGCGGGAGAGAAAGUCAGACGUGAAAUUCCAGGGCUUAACCGCAGAACUGCAUUUGAAACUGUUGAGCUUGAGUAAGGGAGAGGCAGACGGAAUUCCUAGUGGAGCGGUGAAAUGCGUAGAUAUUAGGAGGAACACCAGGGGCGAAGGCGGUCUGCUGGACAGCAACUGACGGUGAGGCGCGAAAGCGUGGGGAGCAAACAGGAUUAGAUACCCGAGUAGUC
rnacentral:rRNA from 1 species